CCUACGGGUGGCAGCAGUCGAGAAUCAUUCACAAUGGGGGAAACCCUGAUGGUGCGACGCCGCGUGGGGGAAUGAAGGUCUUCGGAUUGUAAACCCCUGUCAUGUGGGAGCAAAUUAAAAAGAUAGUACCACAAGAGGAAGAGACGGCUAACUCUGUGCCAGCAGCCGCGGUAAUACAGAGGUGUCAAUCGUUGUUCGGAAUCAAUGGGCGUAAGGGGUGCGUAGGCUGUUUCGUAAGUCGUGUGUGAAAGGCGCGGGCUAAACCCGCGGACGGCACAUGAUACUGCGAGACUAGAGUAGGGGAGGGGGACGCGGAAUGCGCGGUGUAGCAGUGAAAUGCAUAGAUAUCGCGAGGAACACUGGUGGCGAAGGCGGGUUACUGGACAUUAACUGACGCUGAGGCACGAAGGCCAGGGGAGCGAAAGGGAUUAGAUACCCGGGUAGUC
rnacentral:rRNA from 1 species